rnacentral:rRNA from 1 species
AUUGAACGCUGGCGGCAGGCCUAACACAUGCAAGUCGAGCGGAUGAAGGGAGCUUGCUCCUGGAUUCAGCGGCGGACGGGUGAGUAAUGCCUAGGAAUCUGCCUGGUCGUGGGGGAUAACGUCCGGAAACGGGCGCUAAUACCGCAUACGUCCUGAGGGAGAAAGUGGGGGAUCUUCGGACCUCACGCUAUCAGAUGAGCCUAGGUCGGAUUAGCUAGUUGGUGGGGUAAAGGCCUACCAAGGCGACGAUCCGUAACUGGUCUGAGAGGAUGAUCAGUCACACUGGAAAUGGGACACGGUCCAGACUCCUACGGGAGGCAGCAGGGGGGAAUAUUGGACAAUGGGCGAAAGCCUGAUCCAGCCAUGCCGCGUGUGUGAAGAAGGUCUUCGGAUUGUAAAGCACUUUAAGUUGGGAGGAAGGGCAGUAAGUUAAUACCUUGCUGUUUUGACGUUACCAACAGAAUAAGCACCGGCUAACUUCGUGC